rnacentral:rRNA from 1 species
CCCUAUUAUAAAUAAUAUAAUAUUUAGCCUAAGGUAGUAAAUGUUAUAAUCAGGAAACUUAAAGAAUUUGGCGGUAUUUAUUCUUACCAGAGGAAUAUGGUUUUUAAUUGAUUCUCCACAACUAUCUUACUUAAAUUUAUUUUUGUAUACCUCCGUCUAAAAAAAUUCUUUUAAAAUAAAUUUUAAUUUCUUUAAGGAAAUAAGUCAGGUCAAGGUGCAGAUUAUAUUUAAGUUAAAAUGUAUUACAAUAAAUUUAUUUUUAGAUUUAAUAUUAAAAAUUUAAUUAAAAUGGAUUUGGUAGUAAACUUAUUUUUACAAUAAUAAGUUGAAUUGUGUUAAUAAAUAUGCACACAUCGCCC